rnacentral:rRNA from 1 species
UACGAAGGGGGCUAGCGUUGCUCGGAAUCACUGGGCGUAAAGCGCACGUAGGCGGGUCGUUAAGUCAGGGGUGAAAUCCUGGAGCUCAACUCCAGAACUGCCUUCGAUACUGGCGAUCUCGAGUUCGGGAGAGGUGAGUGGAACUGCGAGUGUAGAGGUGAAAUUCGUAGAUAUUCGCAAGAACACCAGUGGCGAAGGCGGCUCACUGGCCCGAUACUGACGCUGAGGUGCGAAAGCGUGGGGAGCAAACAGG